UACGGAGGGGGCUAGCGUUGUUCGGAAUUACUGGGCGUAAAGCGCGCGUAGGCGGAUCUGCAAGUCGGGGGUGAAAUCCCGAGGCUCAACCUCGGAACUGCCUUCGAUACUGCGGGUCUCGAGUCCGGGAGAGGUGAGUGGAAUUCCUAGUGUAGAGGUGAAAUUCGUAGAUAUUCGGCGGAACACCAGUGGCGAAGGCGACUCACUGGCCCGAUACUGACGCUGAGGCGCGAAAGCGUGGGGAGCAAACAGG
rnacentral:rRNA from 1 species